AAAAAGACAAACUCUGGGUUUUCGUGUCCAACUUUGACUGUCUGUCUUAUAUGAAAUUUUUUUAUAAUUCGUAUUUUUAUUGUUGUUAGAUGAUAAAACAUGAUUAAUGCUUUGUGCGUGACUUGUCUUUUUAGUUUUUUUCAUAAUUUUUUCAAAUAAGUCGGACGGUCAAACGUUGGGCACGGAAAUCAGGGUU
rfam:Oryza sativa Japonica Group DNA, chromosome 8, cultivar: Nipponbare, complete sequence.